GCGAGAGUGGCGGAACUGGCAGACGCGCAGGAUUCAGGUUCCUGUGAGCAUUAAGCUUGUGUGGGUUCAAAUCCCGUCUCUCGCACCA
rnacentral:tRNA from 1 species